ensembl:lncRNA
GCGGGCAGCCUUUCCUGUGGGUGCUGUGCUGUGACCCAGACGCCGACAUGCUGGCGUUGGUCACUCCGGGCGCCAUGUGCCCAUCUUUCCCCAAAGAGAGUGUCAGGGCAGAGUGAAGCGGAGUGGCGUUGGCUGCACUGGCUGGCGGAGGGGAUGCAUCCCAAAUGUUUCCUGGCCGCCCGCCCGAAGCUGCCUGCGGUUUCCUGGCUCCUCACCGGCUGCCCCCUGCCCGACCAGGACCCGGACCCUGCUCUCCGGCCACUGCUGCUCCUGCACCCAUGCUGUGGCUGGAGUUUGGCUUUGAGUUUUGCGCCUAAGUUGCCCGAGGGAGGGACUCCGGAGUCGGGCCGUGUUUCCCUGUCUUCGGCGGUGGCCGCAUCCCCCCUGCAGAGCAGAGCCCCCACCCGAAGCAUGCUCUGAGCCCCCAGCCCCAUCCCCAUCCCAGCAGUGACACCGAUAUUUGCUGGCUUAGGCUCCGCGCCAGUCCUACCUCAGUUCAGGGGAGCCGGGUGUGGGGAGGGGCCACUCGGGCUGCGUGUCUGGGGCCUGCAACUCUGGCUUUGGAAGAGCAUAGCGGGACUGCAGUCACUCUAUGUGGGGAGACCUGGGAUUGAACUUGGAAGACAGAGCCACAGAGUAGUUGGUGUCUCUGCAGCCCCUCAGUGUCAGAGCAUGGGGUGGAGAGAGGCCCCGGAGGGCAUGGAGAGCUCUUGACCCCUGACUGCUGCAUGGACGCCAGGCAGGUACCUCUGCAGGCAGAAGCCACUGCCACUGGCUCAGCUGUCUGUUGUCCCGCCGAGGACUGGCCUUUCCUUAACCAAAAGUGCAUGUGGGCAGCAAGCGAUUCCAGGCUGGUCUGGGUUUGGCAGAUUUUGUGUUUAAAAUGUAUUAUGAUCUUUAAAUAUGCCAGUCUGAUGUUGGCCACCAAGGCUACCCUGAAUUGAGAGAGAGAGAGCGCAUUCUGGCUCCCUCGCUGGUCAUGGGAAAGAUAAAGAAGGAAAGCAGUCUUGCAGGACGCCGUGCUUGUCAGAGAAACCCUCGACAGGAGGGGCACCCUGCUUCUCUGGUCAGUGUUCUGGAGAUGCCAGUGUGGUGGCCGCAACGGAAGCCAUCCCUGUCCCAGAGGCUCCGGACUCGUGGCUGGACCCCGCCCCAGUGCCUGUCUCCCCUGUCGUCCUGUAGAGGCCCCACUAAUUCUUGGAGAUGUGACUUGUUCAUUGGUUUCUUCUGUUGUUACUUUUUGUUUUGGAGAAAAAAAUAUUAUAUAUAUAUAUAAAUAUAUAGAUCUAUAUCAUUAUAGAGUAAUGCAUUAAUGAGGCUUUGUAGAGGAAGACCAAAAAUUUCAAUGUCUUAAGAUGUAUUUAAUGGCAAUGCAAAAGUCUUCCUGCUUUCGUGCUGAACUCUUUAGAAGCGAGGACUGUACUGCAAGACGAAGUUGAAUGUAAAGUGCUCCUGACCAUUUCUGAGGUUUUGCUUCUCUGAGCUACGCGUCGCAGCCAUGCAUAGUUGGUUUGAAGGCCGACUCCAUGUAUGAUACGCUUUGCUAAGAUGUGUAGAAUGUUCUGGAGCUUUCUCUCGUUAGGAAUCGGUGGGCGCAGCACCGUGGGCCGGAAGGGAACCUCAGCUGGCGCUCCCCACGCCCCGUGCAGCCUAAAUGAGCAGCCAAGAAGCUGAUAAUAUAUACUGAAUUUUCCUCUAUCCUGUACAUUUCAAAAAAAGGCACAUGCAAUAUUUACAUGUUUUAUUUAGUUUACAGAACGGAACCAAAAUGUAUGUUAUGUUUGCAAAAAUUUCACAAUGUAUAUUGGGUCUUUGUACAUUUUGCCUGACUUACCUUAAAUUUAAACUAUUUUUUGCUAUAUAAACUUUAACCGUUAUUAAACAGUGUUUUCUUUUGGGUAUGUAUUGUUUCUGGAUCUGGAGCUGUUAAAUAUAUUUCUUGCUAUUGUGUUAUGUCAGCACCUCCCCCCCAUCUUCCAUGCUGUACAUAGGGUUGGGAAUGAGCCAGGCUAGAGUAGUGCAUUGUAUUUAGUCUGUAUUGAUCAUGGAUACCCUCCUGAAUAGCCAU